UCUGAUGGUUGAGGUCCAUGCAAGGGUCC
rnacentral:piRNA from 1 species